rnacentral:rRNA from 1 species
UACAGAGGUCUCAAGCGUUGUUCGGAUUCAUUGGGCGUAAAGGGUGCGUAGGCGGCGCGGUAAGUCGGGUGUGAAAUCUUGGAGCUUAACUCCGAAACUGCAUUCGAUACUGCCGUGCUUGAGGACUGGAGAGGAGACUGGAAUUUACGGUGUAGCGGUGAAAUGCGUAGAUAUCGUAAGGAAGACCAGUGGCGAAGGCGGGUCUCUGGACAGUUCCUGGACGCUGAGGCACGGAAGGCCCAGGGGGAGCAAAACGGG